rnacentral:rRNA from 1 species
UCAUCUCCGGGGGUAGAGCACUGUUUCGGCUAGGGGGCCAUCCCGGCUUACCAACCCGAUGCAAACUGCGAAUACCGGAGAAUGUUAUCACGGGAGACACACGGCGGGUGCUAACGUCCGUCGUGAAGAGGGAAACAACCCAGACCGCCAGCUAAGGUCCCAAAGUCAUGGUUAAGUGGGAAACGAUGUGGGAAGGCCCAGACAGCCAGGAUGUUGGCUUAGAAGCAGCCAUCAUUUAAAGAAAGCGUAAUAGCUCACUGGUCGAGUCGGCCUGCGC